GGAAAUAUUAACCUGCACAAGAGGAGAAAGGACUCCAGAGAGGUCAGUUCAAGGCAAGAAUAUUGGCAUUCAAAUUUGUGACUGCUGCUGUGAACAGAUGUCACCUCUGGCGAGUAAGGGUAAUGGCACCAGCAGUAAGGCAGGCCCACCCUGGCUCCUGGGGCUAAACAACAUACCACCACUGGGCUUCAGAGGGGGCAGAGGCAGGAGGGACAGCUUCAACAAGUGAACGUUUCACAAGCAUGCUCUCCGCAGUCCUUUUCCCUUCCCUGCAAUUAUCAUCAAAGAACAUCUGUUUGUUGUUCCUCAGGCACCCUCCCCUCACAAGUGUCCUAGCCUCACCUUGACCCAU
ensembl:lncRNA